UACGUAGGGGGCAAGCGUUGUUCGGAAUUACUGGGCGUAAAGCGUGCGCAGGCGGUUCUAUAAGACAGAUGUGAAAUCCCCGGGCUCAACCUGGGAACUGCAUUUGUGACUGUAGAGCUGGAGUACGGUAGAGGGGGAUGGAAUUCCGCGUGUAGCAGUGAAAUGCGUAGAUAUGCGGAGGAACACCGAUGGCGAAGGCAAUCCCCUGGACCUGUACUGACGCUCAUGCACGAAAGCGUGGGGAGCAAACAGG
rnacentral:rRNA from 1 species